AUUGAACGCUGGCGGCAUGCCUUACACAUGCAAGUCGAACGGCAGCACGGGUGCUUGCACCUGGUGGCGAGUGGCGAACGGGUGAGUAAUACAUCGGAACGUACCUUAUCGCGGGGGAUAACGCAGCGAAAGCUGUGCUAAUACCGCAUACGCCCUGAGGGGGAAAGCGGGGGAUCGAAAGACCUCGCGCGAUUAGAGCGGCCGAUGCCUGAUUAGCUUGUUGGUGGGGUAAAAGCCCCCCAAGGCGACGAUCACUAGCUGGUCUGAGAGGACGAUCAGCCACACUGGGACUGGGACACGGCCCAGACUCCUACGGGAGGCAGCAGUGGGGAAUUUUGGACAAUGGGGGCAACCCUGAUCCAGCAAUGCCGCGUGAGUGGAGAAGGCCUUCGGGUUGUAAAGCUCUUUUGUCAGGGAAGAAACACCGGCUCUAACACAGUCCGGGAAUGACGGUACCUGAAGAAUAAGCACCGGCUAACUACGUGCCAGCAGCCGCCGUAA
rnacentral:rRNA from 1 species